rnacentral:lncRNA from 1 species
AAGGAUAACAUGAAUCUGCGCGUACCUAUCUCCAUCAAGCCCGUUUGACACCAAAAGACUAGAAGACAUAAUGAAAGCGUCUCCUGGUCCUUGGAUUAUCACCGGGGACUUUAACGCCCAUCACACCAUUUGGGGAAGCUCAAAAGUCAACGCAACCGGACGAAGACUCGCUUCGUU